rnacentral:lncRNA from 1 species
CGACUUAUCAAAGCUAGAUCAUAAGCUUUGUGGCGUCCUUCGAUCCACCGGUUACUAUCAUCCCCGAGUUCGUUCAUUGGACUUAAACAAAGAGAGCCUUGAGGCCAGUUGUUUAAGUCACCAUCUUCCCCACACUUCAUUCAUCUCGUGUCCGAGUAGAGAGAGCCUUGAGGCCAGCUACAAGGAUCCAACUCACACUACACCCGAUCUUAUAUC